rnacentral:misc_RNA from 1 species
UCCGGUUUGUCACCGGCAGUCUCGCAUGAGUCCCCAGCUUUACCUGCUGGCAACAUGCGACGAGGGUUGCGCUCGUUGCGGGACUUAAUCCAACACCUCACGGCACGAGCUGACGACAGCCAUGCAACACCUGUCAGGGGCCCUUACGGACCCUACAUCUCUGUAGGUUUUCCCCUGAUGUCAAGCCCAGGUAAGGUUCUUCGCGUCGCCUCGAAUUAAGCCACAUGCUCCGCCGCUUGUGCGGGUCCCCGCCAAUUCCUUUGAGUUUUAGCCUUGCGGCCGUACUCCCCAGGCGGGGUGCUUAAUGCGUUAGCUGCGGCACGGAAGACGUGAACAGUCCCCCACACCUAGCACCCAUCGUUUACGGCGUGGACUAC